CACACAUACGGCAAGUGUACGAAAUAGGCAAUCGAAACAAAAAUAUGUGAAUAGUAAAAUAGGGAAAAAGUAAUACUUAACUAAAUAAUUAUAAGUCGAAAACUAUAUAGUGCAUUUAUCUGAACCACAUAUGUACAUAUACAAAUGCAUCCGUGUUUGGUUAAAAGCUGCCCAAGCCAUGAGCGGACAUACCAGGUCCCCGUGGGAAAUCGAAAAUUUUGGUUGGCAAACCUUGGCAUACUUUGGGUAAAUAGCCGCAAUAGGAUAUGCGCAAAGCAUUUUCGAGAGGAAUGCUUUCUAAAAUAUGGAAAGCUUCGAUUGGGAAGUCUUCCCACGGAAAACAUAGGCCGUGAGGCGUUGUAUCAACCAGAAUUUAGCAAGCAUCAAAAACGAAACAUAGAAAAAAUGAAAAGGAUGAAGAAUAAUGAAGCGGAACAAUUCGAAUUGAAUAAAUAUAAAUUUGAAGAUCCGUGGGAUGAACCAGUCGAAAAUUUCGAUCAAGUGUCCAAAAGCGUGGAUGCAGCUCCUCAUUCUCAAUCCGAAUCAUCAUUCAUUUUGUGUUUGGAGCACAGAAAUAAUGAGCUGCGAGCUGAGGCUGAAUGCCUACGUUUAGAAAAUACUCAGCUAAGAAGGGAGAACGCAGCUUUGAAAAGAAGCUUCGAAAUCCAUAAAUGUAUGUUGGAAUAAAUGAAACAGUAGUAUGUGUCGCUGUUGAUCGGUGUAUACCUCUAUAAUGAAGAAAAUUGAUGCAAGGAUCUUUAAAAGCCUUCGUUACCCCCUGGCACCACCCUUGUGCAAACAUACAUAUGUACAAAAUAUACUUCCUUGAAAUUUUUUUUAUUUCCCACCUUUUACCAUCUAAAAAAGGCGACACAAAAAAUUUGUAUUUGUAUGAUAAAAUGUUAUUAAUAUACAAAUUAAUAUGUUAAUACAAAUAAGUGUAUUCUAUUUUAAUGAUGUGGCAGCCCAACUAUCGACACCGAAUCAACACUGUUCAUUUUGUGAGCACACACACACAGGCGAAGAUUUAUAAACAUAUUAUUAAAUAAAAAGUGAUAAACUAACUACGAAAAAAUAUUCAUUUGAGUGGCAAGGUGCCUGCAUAAGCACGUGCAACAUAUGUAUGCAAAUACACAGCCAGUCGGUCCGUCCGUACGUCUGUGUGCCAUCGUUCGGCAAAAGUACCUACAACCCCGGCCACCGAAUUGAUGGGAUCUUGGCUUCUUUUUGUUAUAAAUAAAAACGAAAAUGGAUUCAAAUAAAAUGCCCGCAGCUUCGCCAGUAAGCAAGGAAAUUUGGCCAUGUUUGGUGAAAGGCUGCUCUGGGCACAAGCGCUCGUACCAGAUCCCGUUAGGAAACAGCAAAUAUUGGUACGCUAAUCUCGGGAUAACCGUAGCACGUAGGCGCUCCAGGGUUUGCGCGAAGCAUUUCCUGGAGGAAUGCUUAUCGCUAAAUCGUCUGCGGAUUGGAAGUGUUCCGACUGAAAAUUUAGGCCGUGAGCCAUUGUAUAUAUCCAAGUUUAGCAGACAUCAGAGAAGAAGUAUAAAGAAAGCUAAAAAGAAAAUAACAGAUCUAUCGGAAAGCUCAGAGCAAUUGCAGGAAGAUGAAACGCAGAUUGACGAUCAGCUAUCCGGUGAUGGUUGGGAGCAAGAGGAUAUAUCCGAAUUUGAUAAAUAUAUCGUUGAAGAUCCACAGUCGGACAGCGCGGAAGAGGUCAUGCACUACAAAAUGGAUAGCUAUGACACUGAAGAUCAUUCACAGUCCGAAUCAGCAUUAAAAUCAAUAAAUUCGUAUUUAAAGCAACAAAAUAAUGAGCUGCAAGCCGAGGUUGAAUGCCUACGUUUAGAAAAUUCUCAAUUAAGAAUAGAAAACCUUUCUUUGAAAAGAAACUUUAAAAUCCAUAAAAGUUUGAACGAAUAAAGGAAAGAAUGUUUUGUCGUUGCUA